CGGUGGCCUAGUGGUUAGAGCAUCCACCUCGGGUGCGGAUGGUGGCGGAUUCGAACCCAGCCGUGUCGU